rnacentral:rRNA from 1 species
UACGUAGGGACCGAGCGUUGUCCGGAAUCAUUGGGCGUAAAGAGCGUGUAGGCGGCCACUUAAGUCCUGCGUGAAAUCUUGCGGCUCAACCGCAAGCGGUCGUGGGAAACUGGGUGGCUAGAGUGCGGGAGAGGAGAGUGGAAUUCCUGGUGUAGCGGUGGAAUGCGCAGAUAUCAGGAGGAACACCUGUGGUGUAGACGGCUUUCUGGACCAUAGCUGACGCUGAGACACGAAAGCGUGGGUAGCAAACAGG